rnacentral:rRNA from 1 species
UACAGAGGUCUCAAGCGUUGUUCGGAUUCAUUGGGCGUAAAGGGUGCGUAGGUGGCGGGGUAAGUCAGGUGUGAAAUCUCGGGGCUCAACCCCGAAACUGCACUUGAUACUGCCUUGCUCGAGUACUGGAGAGGAGAUUGGAAUUUACGGUGUAGCAGUGAAAUGCGUAGAUAUCGUAAGGAAGACCAGUGGCGAAGGCGAAUCU